UUAAAACCGAAACGACGCUAUAUAAACAGCCGCGGAAACGAUAUAAUCACGUGACGUAAGUGGGAGUGCGUUGAAUUACGCACGGCCCAGAAAUUAUACGAGCGAGUAGUCAGCAAACGAGUGCAGUCCCUGCGACAGGCCGUUCACACCGAUCCACCGCACGACUCUGCUGUUGGCAGAAAUCGAGAAAUUGUUUGGCCGAUUUUGAACUAAUUGUUUCGUGGUAUUAUCAAUCGAUAAGUGAACUACAUAAACAAAUCUGCGCAUGCGAUAAAUGCACAAAGAUCCGCGGUCUACUAACAAGAUUAGGUCGUGUCCGAUUUUGGCUAUCGUAGGAUAAACCCGUGUCGAUCGAGCGAUCCCCGAAUGGAAGGUUUCAAGCGAUUGAUGCUGACAGAAGAGGAAAAAGUUCGGUGUCAACCGAGGAAGACUUAUUUUCGUCGGUUAUCGCGAGCAGACACGGCUUUCUGGUCGUUUUCACGAUAACUUCGUAUCUUAAUACGGUUCGAGUGCGCAAUUAUUUAUGCCUCUCUUAAAUAAGAUUGCGUAUCGAAACGUCAGUCCUCGGGAGAGACGCAGCACAUUGUUUCCAACCGGCUGUAUAUCCGGUAUCGAUGUGUGCACGCGCGUACUUGCUACUUACACACGGCGAGGGAUGUUCCGCGAAGAGGAUUUGCGUAUUAGAGGACGCUCGCCAAGGAUCAUCGAGGGUUCCUUUCGUUGCGACCCCCGUUUCCGAGAACAGUUGCCACGACGUGGCGCGAUUCAACGCUCGAGCACUCGUCUAGGUCGCACAUCUAUCGGACUCGCUUUUCCUUGAAUCUUUCGUCUAUUUACAUACGAAGUGCGCGCGAGAUGCUAAAGGUUACGCGAAUAUCAGAUACCGAUCGGCCGUCUGCCUGGUCUACGCGUUGCUCAGUGUGGCCGAACCGAAGAAUACGAUAAACUGUAAGCGAAAAUGGACAAUUUGAGAAGAGGAGGUACGAUUAUUCGGAGCACACGGCUCGUUUCUGUAGUUGCCGAUUAUUAUCGAUAACUAGAAAAAACGAGCUUCUCUUCCUAAAUUGUUCAUUUUUGCUUACAGGGCGAUCUUACAGGACAAGCUAAAGGACAAUUUUGGAAAGAAUUUACUGUAUUGGACAAAAAUCGAUAUACAUAAUCUCAGAAAUGUUCAAAUAUCGAUACGCAUUUACAAAAUAUAAAUUCAGAUUCAUUUA